rnacentral:tRNA from 1 species
GCUUUAAUAGUAUAACAAUUACCUUGGUCUUGUAAACCAAAAAUGAAGACCUCAGCCUUCUUAAAGCA